CCUACGGGUGGCAGCAGUGAGGAAUAUUGGUCAAUGGGCGAGAGCCUGAACCAGCCAAGUCGCGUGAAGGAUGACGGCCCUACGGGUUGUAAACUUCUUUUGUCAGGGAGCAAUUGAGUCCACGUGUGGUCUUAGCGAGAGCACCUGAAGAAAAACCACCGGCUAACCCCGUGCCAGCAGCCGCGGUAAUACGGAGGUUGCGAGCGUUAUCCGGUUUUAUUGGGUUUAAAGGGUGCGUAGGCGGACUAUCAAGUCAGCGGUAAAAGUUCGGGGCCCAACCCCGUCGUGCCGUUGAAACUGUUGGACUUGAGUAGGCGAGGGGUAUGCGGAAUGCGUGGUGUAGCGGUGAAAUGCGUAGAUAUCACGAAGAACUCCGAUUGCGAAGGCAGCGUACCGGAG
rnacentral:rRNA from 1 species